UACAGAGGUCUCAAGCGUUGUUCGGAUUCAUUGGGCGUAAAGGGUGCGUAGGCGGCGCGGUAAGUCGGGGUGUGAAAUCUCGGAGCUUAACUCCGGAAACUGCAUUCGAUACUGCCGUGCUUGAGGACUGGAGAGGAGACUGGAAUUUACGGUGUAGCGGUGAAAUGCGUAGAUAUCAGGAGGAACACCAAUGGCGAAGGCAGCUCGCUGGGACGUGACUGACGCUGGAGACGCGAAAGCGUGGGAG
rnacentral:rRNA from 1 species